GAUGAACGCUGGCGGCGUGCUUAACACAUGCAAGUCGAACGGAAAGGCCUCUGCUUGCAGGGGUACUCGAGUGGCGAACGGGUGAGUAACACGUGGGUGAUCUGCCCUGCACUUCGGGAUAAGCCUGGGAAACUGGGUCUAAUACCGGAUAGGACAAUGGUUUGGAUGCUGUUGUGGAAAGUUUUUCGGUGUGGGAUGAGCUCGCGGCCUAUCAGCUUGUUGGUGGGGUAAUGGCCUACCAAGGCGUCGACGGGUAGCCGGCCUGAGAGGGUGUACGGCCACAUUGGGACUGGGAUACGGCCCAGACUCCUACGGGAGGCAGCAGUGGGGAAUAUUGCACAAUGGGCGCAAGCCUGAUGCAGCGAGGCCGCGUGGGGGAUGACGGCCUUCGGGUUGUAAACUCCUUUCGCUAGGGACGAAGCGUUUUUGUGACGGUACCUGGAGAAGAAGCACCGGCUAACUACGUG
rnacentral:rRNA from 1 species